rnacentral:rRNA from 1 species
GGGGGCGCAGCAGGCGCGAACCUUGCAUAAGCGAAGCUUGACAGGGUACUCUGAGUGAUUUCGCUAGAAGUUCUUUGGCACUCUAAAAAUGUGCAGAAUAAGGGGGUGGGCAAGUCUGGUGUCAGCCGCGCGUAAUACCAGCACCCGAGUGGUCGGGACGAUUAUGGGCUAAAGCAUCCGUAGCCGGUCCGCAAGUCCUCCGUUAAAUCCACCCGCUCAACGGUUGGGCCGCGGGGGAUACUACAGGGCUAGGAGGCGGGAGAGGCAAGCGGUACUCGAUGGGUAGGGGUAAAAUCCACUGAUCCAUUGAAGACCACCAGUGGCGAAGGCGGCCUGCCAGAACGCGCUCGACGGUGAGGGAUGAAAGCUGGGGGAGCAAACCGGAUUAGAUACCCGGGUAGUCCCAGCUGUAAACGAUGCAGACUCGGUGAUGGGCUGGCUUCGUGCCAACCCGGUGCCGCAGGGAAGCCGUUAAGUCUGCCGCCUGGGGAGUACGGUCGCAAGACUGAAACUUAAAGGAAUUGGCGGGGGAGCACCACAAGGGGUGAAGCCUGCGGUUCAAUUGGAGUCAACGCCGGAAAUCUUACCGGGGGCGACAGCAGUGUGAAGGUCAAGCUGAAGACUUUACUCGACAAGCUGAGAGGAGGUGCAUGGCCGUCGCCAGCUCGUGCCGUGAGGUGUCCUGUUAAGUCAGGUAACGAGCGAGACCCCUACCGCUAGUUGCUAUCGUUACUCUCAGGAGUAGCGGGGCUAAUUAGUGGGACCGCCGCCGCUGAGGCGGAGGAAGGAGGGGGCUACGGCAGGUCAGUAUGCCCCGAAACCCUCGGGCCACACGCGGGCUGCAAUGGUAAGGACAAUGGGUUUCAAUCCCGAAAGGGGGAGGCAAUCCGUAAACCUUACCACAGUUAUGAUUGAGGGCUGAAACUCGCCCUCAUGAAUAUGGAAUCCCUAGUAACCGCGUGUCAUCAUCGCGCGGUGAAUACGUCCCUGCUCCUUGCACACACCG